CGUUGGGUAGUUUAGUGGUAGAACACCGCAUCACAUGCUGGAGACCCAGGUUCAAAUCCUGGUCCAACCG
rnacentral:tRNA from 1 species